rnacentral:rRNA from 1 species
AUUGAACGCUGGCGGCAGGCCUAACACAUGCAAGUCGAGCGGCAGCGGGAAAGUAGCUUGCUACUUUUGCCGGCGAGCGGCGGACGGGUGAGUAAUGCCUGGGGAUCUGCCCAGUCGAGGGGGAUAACUACUGGAAACGGUAGCUAAUACCGCAUACGCCCUACGGGGGAAAGCAGGGGACCUUCGGGCCUUGCGCGAUUGGAUGAACCCAGGUGGGAUUAGCUAGUUGGUGAGGUAAGGGCUCACCAAGGCGACGUUCCCUAGCUGGUCUGAGAGGAUGAUCAGCCACACUGGAACUGAGACACGGUCCAGACUCCUACGGGAGGCAGCAGUGGGGAAUAUUGCACAAUGGGGGAAACCCUGAUGCAGCCAUGCCGCGUGUGUGAAGAAGGCCUUCGGGUUGUAAAGCACUUUCAGCGAGGAGGAAAGGUCAGUAGCUAAUAUCUGCUGGCUGUGACGUUACUCGCAGAAGAAGCACCGGCUAACUCCGUGCCAGCCGCCGCUGUAACAC